rnacentral:tRNA from 1 species
GCCCUCGUAGCUCAACGGAUAGAGUGCCUCACUCCUAACGAGGAAAUGGAAGUUCAACUCUUCCCGAGGGCG